GUAGGGAAUAUUGGGCAAUGGGGGGAACCCUGAUCCAGCCAUGCCGCGUGUGUGAAGAAGGCCUUUUGGUUGUAAAGCACUUUAAGCGAGGAGGAGGCUACCGAGAUUAAUACUCUUGGAUAGUGGACGUUACUCGCAGAAUAAGCACCGGCUAACUCUGUGCCAGCAGCCGCGGUAAUACAGAGGGUGCAAGCGUUAAUCGGAUUUACUGGGCGUAAAGCGCGCGUAGGUGGCCAAUUAAGUCAAAUGUGAAAUCCCCGAGCUUAACUUGGGAAUUGCAGUCGAUACUGGUUGGCUAGAGUAUGGGAGAGGAUGGUAGAAUUCCAGGUGUAGCGGUGAAAUGCGUAGAGAUCUGGAGGAAUACCGAUGGCGAAGGCAGCCAUCUGGCCUAAUACUGACACUGAGGUGCGAAAGCAUGGGGAGCAAACAGGAUUAGAUACCCCUGUAGUCC
rnacentral:rRNA from 1 species